UUUGACAUGGAUAUGUUAGUCACUUGCUGAGCUUUAUAUGCUCACCCGUUGUUGUAUAAAUUUUUCAGGAUAGCUUGUCGCUUGCUUAAAUGUUAAGGUUGGGCUGAGGUAGUGGAAAGCUAAAAGAUUUUGGGCAGAUCCUUAUUAGUAUAUAUGUUUUUGUUGUAUAAGUACACUCUGCAUCUAAUGAAAUGUUGACGAUGAAUCUAAACUUGUGGAUGUUGUAUAAGUUUAAAGGACCUCUC
rnacentral:lncRNA from 1 species